rnacentral:rRNA from 1 species
CUGAGGGCCUACCUGAGAAACUGGAUGACUUGAGGGCAGGAGAGGGGAGUGGAAUUCCCAGUGUAGCGGUGAAAUGCGUAGAUAUUGGGAGGAACACCAGUGGCGAAGGCGGCUCUCUGGCCUGUUUCUGACGCUGAGGCGCGAAAGCGUGGGGAGCGAACGGGAUUAGAUACCCCGGUAGUCCACGCCGUAAACGAUGGGUGCUAGGUGUAGGAGGUAUCGACCCCUUCUGUGCCGUAGCUAACGCAAUAAGCACC